ACCAUACUAACAACUCUCUGGGGACAUAAGCUAAAACACUAAUCACCUAUGGGUAACCCUACUAUCCCACACCCAACCCCGGAAAAGGCGUACGGAGAACUCUAUAAGCCCCUAGCCUACAAUCCUGAUUCUAGACCUCCAAACUCCCCUAUCAAGGGUAAUGUCCUCGGUAACCUGCAUUCUGGUCAUGUCCUGUCUAAUCACCUCUCCCCAAUGCUUCUUANNNNN
rnacentral:lncRNA from 1 species